rnacentral:rRNA from 1 species
CCCUUAGAUGUUCUGGGCCGCACGCGCGCUACACUGAUGCAUUCAACGAGUCCAACCUUGACCGAGAGGUCCGGGUAAUCUUUGAAACUGCAUCGUGAUGGGGCUAGAUUAUUGCAAUUAUUAAUCUUCAACGAGGAAUGCCUAGUAAGCGUGAUUCAUCAAAUCGCGUUGAUUACGUCCCUGCCGUUUGUACACACCGCCCGUCGUUUCUUCCGACUGAUACUCAUUGUGAGUUGCAAGGACCCUUUAUUGGGAAAUUGCUGCAAAUGCUUUGUAUUGGAGGAAGAAAAAGUCGUAACA